AUUGAACGCUGGCGGUAGGCUUAACACAUGCAAGUCGAGCGGAAACGAUGUAGCUUGCUACAGGCGUCGAGCGGCGGACGGGUGAGUAACGCGUAGGAACCUACCUAGUAGUUUGGGAUAGCCCAGAGAAAUUUGGAUUAAUACCGAAUACGCCCCACGGGGGAAAGCGGAGGAUCUUCGGACUUCGCGCUAUUAGAUGGGCCUGCGUAAGAUUAGCUUGUUGGUGAGGUAAUGGCUCACCAAGGCAACGAUCUUUAGCUGGUGUGAGAGGAUGAUCAGCCACACUGGGACUGAGACACGGCCCAG
rnacentral:rRNA from 1 species